rnacentral:lncRNA from 1 species
GAGGAAUUAAUUAUCAUCACUCUGCUUAUUGACAGAACAAUUUUUUGGUAACCUUCUUUGUCCUUGAUCUCUGAGAUCAUCAGAAGUGUAUGAACUUCUCUACCUUCCUGGUCCCACACCAAAAUGGAUUUUAAAAGAUGCAUUAAUCAAGUGAAGAAAGUAAAAGAGAAUGGAAGAUGAAGCAAAGAGAAAGAACAAUCGCCUGCAUGCGUGGACCCUUUUAUGGAAGCAAAAACCAGAGUGGUUUGUUCUGUGAAUAACAACAGAAAUCCUAAGGUAAGUGCUGUCAUCUAGUUUUCUGAUAUUUUCAGAUAUUAACCAUG